UACGUAGGGUGCAAGCGUUAAUCGGAAUUGCUGGGCGUAAAGCGUGCGCAGGCGGCUUUGCAAGACAGAUGUGAAGUCCCCGGGCUUAACCUGGGAACUGCAUUUGUGACUGCAUGGCUGGAGUGCGGCAGAGGGGGAUGGAAUUCCGCGUGUAGCAGUGAAAUGCGUAGAUAUGCGGAGGAACACCGAUGGCGAAGGCAAUCCCCUGGGCCUGCACUGACGCUCAUGCACGAAAGCGUGGGGAGCAAACAGG
rnacentral:rRNA from 1 species